AAAGAGGAUCUUACUACUUCUCGUCGCACCGAUGACCUUGACUAUUGAAUCGGUACUCUUUUCCAAAACGAUGGGAGGAAAGAAGAACUAUAUAUAUAGCCAGGAAGAGUUUGAUAUUUGCCAUAUAUGUUCGUCUCUUGUCUUAAUAUUUUUUUUUUUGUAUUUUUAUGUGUUCGUUUCUCAUGUUGUAAUAUGUUGUUUAACUGCUUGUCAUUGUAGAGGUAACAAAAUUUUGCUGGGAACAUUUAUAUUCUUAGGUUGACUGUUGACGGAAAGUUUGUUCAAAACAUUAAAAGCAAGUGGGGUACAA
rnacentral:lncRNA from 1 species